rnacentral:rRNA from 1 species
CGUUGACCUCGGAUCAGGUAGGAAUACCCGCUGAACUUAAGCAUAUCAAUAAAGCGGAGGAA